rnacentral:rRNA from 1 species
AGAAUCAACGCUGGCGGCGUGCCUAACACAUGCAAGUCGAACGAGAAAGUGGAGCAAUCCAUGAGUAAAGUGGCGACCGGGUGAGUAACACGUGACUAACCUACCUUCGAGUGGGGGAUAACCUCGGGAAACCGAGGCUAAUACCGCAUAACAUCGCAAGAUCAAAGCAGCAAUGCGCUGGAAGAGGGGGUCGCGGCUGAUUAGCUAGUUGGCGGGGUAAUGGCCCACCAAGGCGAAGAUCGGUAGCCGGCCUGAGAGGGCGCACGGCCACACUGGAACUGAAACACGGUCCAGACUCCUACGGGAGGCAGCAGUGGGGAAUUUUGCGCAAUGGGGGAAACCCUGACGCAGCAACGCCGCGUGGAGGAUGAAGCCCCGUUGGGGUGUAAACUCCUUUCGACCAAGACGAUAAUGACGGUACUGGUGGAAGAAGCACCGGCUAACUCUGUGCCAGCAGCCGC